rnacentral:lncRNA from 1 species
GUUACCUUUGUCUAUUUACUAGUAAGUGUUAGUUUGGAAGUACUGCACAUACUUCUAUUGGCUUUUAAAUUAAGCAUGGUGCUUAGGUUAAACAACCUUCCUUAAUCUGAUUAGACAUGGAGUCUAGUUCGGUUAUUGAACUAAAAACUGCUUGUGUAGACAUUGGUAUAUUUUUGUCGGACUAACCCCUGCAGAAAAAAUCUUUCAAUAUCGAUUUGGGAAGUCCUGAGAUAAACUCACAUCAGAGACAAAGAGAGUGACACAUGAAGUUUAACAAUUUGCACAAGAAGGACAUAGCUCAUUCAUCAUACAGAGAUGAUCCAUGGAAGGAGACAAAGUACAUAAACACGAUGCACAACCGCUAUGAAAGGAAAGCUUCCACAAGGUGAUACUAUACCAUCACUCUUCAAGUAAGGGUUAGAGAAGAACAAAUACACUUUUGGUUCUGUUGGUGUUUUUCACCAACAGGGCCCAUGCACUUGAUCUCUGCCUUGUCUCUAUGAGCAGGUACACUUCGAGCAAAACCUGGAAGAGUUUUACAACUCCCAGACUCCACCAAGUGAACGACCUGGAUCUACGAGCACAAACACACUGAGCAGGUUACUGCCAACGCCGCACUUCGAACUGCUGGGCAAACAAAGAACAUGGGUGACACCGUAUCAAGAGGUGCAGACGUCAAGGUCCGCACCUGAAUCAAAUGACGCACCGGAAGAAUGAACACGGUGAGAAGUCUUGUUAAGAAGACUUAAAACAUUGAACCAUCGCCGAAAGGUAAGAUCGGUAGUUGUCCAUAUUUAUCCUUUCUGCAUUCCCUUUUUCCUUUAAUUAUUUACUUUCCUUAAAUAGAUUAUUAGUUAAUCAUGCUAUCUUGAAAAGAAAAUAAAAAUGUUAAAAAAUACUAAGCUCCAUGUGAGUAUACGAGUGGCAUAAAACCCAUAAGUACCUUCAUUGUGGUGGCAUAAAAAUAAAAUAAAUAUUUCUUUUCUGCUUUAUAAAAUAAAAAUAUAAAAACAGGGAGUAAUAUUUAUUGAGGAAGCUCAACAUGAUGAAGGCUAGAUAUUUAUGCUAACACUUAAUUAGUUCCUCAAGCUUUGUUGUCUAUUUGAGCUCCACAGAAUUUAAGAAUCAAGAAGACUAGCAGACGGAGGACAUUCUAAUCGCUGUCAGAAUGCUGCUGACUUUCAAAUACACCUCUGCCACCUGCUAGCUACAUCAGGAGAAAUUACAUCAAAAUCCAGCUUGGGGGAGAGCACCCCCAUUUAUCCAGCUAAGUGUUUCUACUCGCGUUUAUACUUUACUCAAAUAAUAAAAAGAUACAUAAUUAUAAAAACCUAAAUAAAGAUUUUAUGCUUAUAUAUAUAUGUAUGCUUAGUUUAAAGUUUGCUAUGAACUCUCAUGAUAAGCUCUCACAUGAAAAUGAUGAAUAGUUGCUCUGCCUAAUUUGCAAAUUUGAAGUUCUCUCUCAAGUUUUGACAUAACUGUUAUAAUUUAAAGCUUGCUCCAGAUCUAAACUUGUGGGAUGAAAACUUGAUCUGAAAUCUAAGUUGUUAACGGAUAUGAUAUGGGAAGGUUGAGCUGCUGUUUAUCUGUUCCUAGAGAUGCUAGAAUUCUAGAGAAUUUUAUCUUUGAAAAAUCUUUAAAAUAUUGCAUGAUGAGUUCCUGUAUGAUGAGAGUUUAAAUUCCUACCACAGCCAUAUAUACAUGCUUGCUAGACUUUGAGCCACACAUUUACUAUUUACUGCUUAUGAGCAUUGAGUGUGGUCAAGCUGUGUAGACUCUUAGGAGCUUGUCAUGUGGUUAAAUCAAGAUUCACUUGCACGUUCACUCAUAUAUGCUACUUCUACUCCGGAAGUACCAUCCACAUAUAUCUAUCCAUGUCCAUCUCCAGAACCACCCAAAAAUAUUCUACUCCUAAUCCGGGAGAGAAUAGCCAAAAAUAUUUCUGUUUUCCCUUGUGAAAUAUAUGCUCAAGUUAUCUUGCUACUACCACUUGAUAUAUUAUCUCAAGAGAUGAGUGCUCUGAAAAAAAAGAAAAGAGAAGAAAAGAAAAAAAUAAUAAAUGAGGAAAUAAAAAGGGGCAAGUGCCCGGAACCUCGAAAGAAAGAAAAUGUGAGACGAGAGGUAAAAAUGGACAAGUGUCCGACAGUAGAAUUCGGGGUACAAGAUACCCACCUGAGUGGAAAGAAAAAGAAGAGCAUCUCAUUCUCCUCAUAAAGUUUCAAAAAGCAAGGAAGGUAUGUAUCCCCUCAAAAGAGCAAAAGUAGAAUUAGACUUUCACCAUUGUUACCACCUUCAUCACCAUACACCAUUCAUUCGCCACACAUGCACAUCUUGAUUUGGCUUAUUGAUUUGUUUCUUUGGAUCCAUGGUUUGACUAUACAAUAAAUGUCUUGUAAGUAUGUAUACUUUAUCUCCCACCUAUGAGCUCUAGAUAUUAAAGCCUUAUUAGAGUAGGGUGAGAGAGAAGGCAAUGUCACUAUACCUUAUACCACAAAUACCAUAUAUAUUGAGAGAAGGCAUAUACCAUCACUGCCUUGGUAAGGAUCCAGAAAUACCACAAAAGAGAGAUUUAGAGAGUCAUACAAGGAAUCUCUGAGUUUUAUUUGAAAAUCUGCAAAAACUCCAGAGCCAUAUCUGAUCAAGAAUAAGAGACAUGGCACUUGGCUAGACUGUUCUAUCUUUUAACUACUCAAGACAGAAGUGACGGUUACAAGUCCCAUGGUGAAAGGUAAAGUAAGUAAGUUUUAGUUCUUGACAGUUUACUCUAACUCAGAGAUGAGAUCUUAUUUAAAAGCAUGUGUACCGUCAAAUUUUUAAGAUAUUGCAACAACUUCUGAUCCAUUGCUGAGUCUAUCCUUGCUCAGGGACGAGCAAGAGGUAAGCUUGGGGGAGUUUGUUGACGGUCCUUAAGUAUCAAAUUUAAUUAUCAAAUAAACAAAGAAAAGGAUCCAAAUGAAAUCAACAUCUAGACUUAGGGUUUUAUCUGACAGAAUUCCACGAGUUUUGGUGUUUGUCUAUUUCUGUAGGGGGUUAUCAGGAAAUAUGAAAGAAAGGCCCACAUGUCGGGUUUACAUAGAGAUAUUAACGUGCCGCGCAAUUUUCGACCAUCUAGAAGACUCCAGAAGCCACGGGAACGAACGGGAGGCCGAUCGGGCCCGGGGGCAGGGUGCCCGCCCAGCUACAGUAACCAAUCAGCUUCAACUUCGCGGAUCAUGCUCCACCGACCUAAUACUUCAAGGAAAACCACACGAUCAAUGUCGGUUUGAUCCGACGGCCCAGAUUCAUCUGAAAAGACUAUAUAACCAGACACCCUGGACCCUGGAGGAGGCACCCCUUGAUCAUUAUUCAUUAUUCAUAGACAGAGCAAAAGCUAGGGUUUAGAGAUGAGAGCUCUCCUCUCUUCUCUAAACUAGAGUAGAUCUAGAUAGUAGCAAGAUGGAGAGCGAAGGAGGAUUAGAGGAGAGGCCGGCCUGUCGGUUCUUCCUCCAGUUGUACUUCGUCAUGAUCAAGCUCUAAUCAAGCUUGCUCAUGGGAUGACUCUGGUAAUCUACUUCUAAUUCAUUAUGCAAUUACUAAUUAUGUAUGUUCUGGUUCACAACUCUUUUGAGUAUUCUAAUCUAUAGGACGCUAUAGGUGAGAGUUGUAGUAUAGGUGUAAGCAAGGUGCUUAGAUCUAGAUUACUUGUGGAUAUCCCCUAUCUAGCUGGAUCGUGUGGAAGACCGCAUAGGUGACAGUUACGUUGGUCCUCUGUAGUCCACCUCUCGUUAGCAGGACGGGUAGGGUUUAUCGGCCUAAGGAUAAGCAUCCUUUGUGGUGUACUCUUAUCACGUGGUUCGUCCCAGACAUAGACAUACCCCUUUGAAGUAGAGAAACCAUAGUUAUCCUCUCUAUUCUGCUACCAUCGCCCAUAUACUAGAAUUGCUCUAUUCUCUAUUCCCAUAUUAUCACCCAUUGUUAUCUUAUCUUUAAUAUUGUUCUUAUUCGAUUCUACCAUCUAACCUAUUUACACCUAUUUACUUAUCUUGGUUAAGUUAGAGCGUAGAUCAGUUCUCCCGUUUCCCUGUGGAUACGAUAAAACCUUUAACCGGGUAAAAGCUUCGACGGUAUCCGUGCGCUUGAGGAUUAUCUGUGUGCGUAUAAAUACCAUAGUACACUCUAGUGCCAUGCUGGGGAUGACAACCUAGUAUUCAAGUGGUGUUAGCAAGUGUCAACACCCUAUAUGCCAGAUCGCGGGGUAGUUCGAGGUAGUGACAGCUCCAUUGAUUCUUAUAUUGUCCCCCUCUCGUGUAUAGGGCUGGCAGAGCAACAUUAUUACACGGGAGUGAUUGCUAUGUUUCUCAUUUACCUUGAUAAUAUCACUUUAUCUAUAUUUUAUGUGACAUUUAUCCCUGUAUGAAAGAGAUAGAUAAAUGCUCUCAAUUAUAAAUGCAAUGAUAAAUACUCAAUCCUAUAUUCUAUUCCAUAAUCAACAUUGAUGCUUAGCAAUCCCUUCCCAGUGGUAAAAAUAUAAAUAACGAUAUCUGGAAUACUUCCCGGUUAAAAUGUUACAUCGGUAUUAAUCUGUGCGCUUGCAGAUCUCAUUUAUUAUUUAUUUAGAAGAGCAAUUGCAUAUUUCAAUACCACGUCUCUCAUGUCAUGCUGGGGAUGACAACUUGGCUUAAGUGGCAUGAGGGAUAGGUUUGACAUUUUUGGCGCCGUUAUCAGAAUUAGAAAACUAAGUCUACUUUUGGUAGUGACAUUAAGAAUGCCCAACAGCGACGAUACCGAUCCUCACGCUGCUGCCAGGUUUCCUGAUAUCUCCUAUGAGUGAUAACAAUACCGGACUGAGGAGGUCUUCCAGAAGUGGUGCCUUCCUGGAUUAACCCUUUACCUUUGGCGUCAUCGGCAUUGAUUUGAUGCUGGGGGUCUACCGAUGCGCUUCUCUCAGUUGCUUCUGAUGUCAAGACUUUGGUCUUUCCCUUGGCAUCCAACAUGUUUGUGGGGAAAGGAUGUUGAUCAAUCUUUAUCGGCUUCUAGGCUUUGGAGCUAUCAAAUUUAAUCCUCCCAGACUCUAUAGUCGAUUGCAGCUGUUGUGUCAACUCUUUGCAUUCAUUUGUAUUAUGAGAUGUUGCAUUAUGCCAAUUGCAAUACUUGAUCUUCUUUAACUCUUCCGCCGAUGGAAUCACAUGGUUGGGUGACAAUUUAAUCUACCCCUCCUAAAGCAGAAAGUCAAAUAUCCUAUCGGCUUUGGUGAUGUCAAAUGCAAACUUUUCUAGCUCUUUAUGUCCAAAAGGACAAGACAUCGCCUUCUUAAUUUUUACCCAUUCUGCCAAGCUAAUGACUGGUUCUUCAUCAGAAUCUGAGCUUGUUGCCUCCUCAACAAAUGAUACCUUUUUAUUCCAGGCUUUCCUAGGCUCAAAAGUCUUGAUAUCCUGAUCAGAAAUCCUCUGUACCAAAUGACUUAGACAUUCAAAUUCUUGGGAAGCAUACUUGUCUUUAAUGUGUGGCAACAAUCCUUGGAAUGCCAAAUCGGCAAGCUGCCGAUCAUCUAGAACCAGACUAUAACAUUUAUUUUUGACAUCUCGCAACCGUUGCACAAAACUUUCAACCGAUUCAUCAUUACGUUGCCUCAGCCUGAUUAAAUCGGUAAUCUUCUUCUCAUGAACACCAUAAAGGAAGUAUUUAUGGAACUGCUUCUGUAGAUCGGCCCAAGUAAUUACUGAGUUUGGAGGUAAUGAAAUAAACCAAGUGAAGGCCGAUCCAGAUAAAGAUGAUGAGAAUAAACGAACCCUUAACUCAUCUCUGUUAGGCGCUUCACCACAUUGGAUGAUGAACCUGUUAACAUGCUCCAUGGUUGAUGUAUCUACCUAUCUAGAAAAUUUGGUGAAAUCUGGCACCUUGUACCGAUUUGGAAGCGGAAUCAAGUCAUAUGCAGGAGGAUACGGUGUCCGAUAAGAAUAAGUGUUGACUUUGGGUUUUAUCCCGAAUUGAUCUCUCAUCACCUUAGCAAUCUUAUCGGCCCAAUAAGCAUCGGCAUCCUGCCGAUGAGCAGGUUGUUGAUCUGGCACCUGCUCAUAAGCUUCCACGUGUCUCUACGGUGCACGAUCUCUAGGGAACAUGGCAUCAGCCACUGCCUGUUGACCACCAACUUGCUGAGCAAGAUUCAUCGGCUGAUUGAUCAAUCCUUGAUUCUGAAACCCAGGUUGCAUUGGUCCCUGUUGAAAUCCCAUAGCCUGAUGAUUCUGUUGAGGCGUUUGUGGAAAGACAAACUGCCCUGUCCAUCCACAGUUAACAUUCAUCGGCGUAGGCCCUGCCGAUGACUAGUAGUUGGGCAUCAUCAUUGAAUUGACAUACCCAGGCUGUGUCAUAAACCUUUGAUGCGUCGGCAUUGGAUCUGCCGAUGCGUUAGGCAUCUGGAACGUUGGCAUUUGAGAAUUCCCAGUAAAGGGUUUUACAGUGGUAGUUGUAGAAUACUAAGGAUUCUGAGUCAUCAGUGAUACUGGGGGUGCCGAUGCCAUAGGAGCCUUGCCUGUCGUGUCAGCCACUUGAGAUGUCCUAGAACUAUUUGCUAUAAAUUCUGGGGGCAUACCAUAUCGCCACCAGUUGGGAGGAACUUGACAAUUUUUAAACACAGACCCUGACAUUGCCAAUGCCAAUAGAUCUGUAGUAAGUUGGAUUUGUCCCUCUGAUGUUGCUGGAUUAGUCCUCAUCGGUAUAGAUUGCCCAUUAGUCAUCCCUAAUGUGCUUGGAGGAGAAGUAACUUCUGUACCCACAACGGCAGAGCAGCCGACGGAGCUGUAACCGAUGAUGAUCCAGGCUGAUGAUAGGCUGGGCCCACAUAAGCUACUGGUACUUGUCCUUCCUUGAAAGUUCUAGCCACAGCAUUGAAAACUGUAUUGGACAGUACACUGGAUUGAUUGAUUGAUUAUAGCACGACUCAUAGCAUUGUCAACCAUCUCUUGUAGUUUACCAGGAUUAGCUUCAAAAGUGAUUUGCCGAGGCAUCGGCAAUGCUUCCUUUUGGAUCACCUCGCCGCUCCUGUUGAUGCUGAAGGACUUCAAACAUAGUUGCUUAUAGCUUUUGUCAUAGCUUGCUUCUGCUCAUCUCUGAGAUUGGCUUCCGUCACGGGGUUGAUGUUAUCCGUAUCGAAAUCAGUGUUUGACAUGUUGAUCUUGAUGUUGAAUCUCUGUCCCACUGGGCGUGCCAAAAGAUGUGUUGGUGCAAAAGUAGAUCUGCAAACACAAAGGGCUAAUACCUGAUUUGAUGUUAAGGCGUGCCAGCCGAUUUGACCAUGCAAUCGACAAAGGUGGUAACUCGAAUACUUUGGUCCCGACAACAGCGAUGCGCCCGGAUGUCACGGCCAAGAGGUAUUCACGUGGAACUCGAGAACUCGCUGAGGUUGACUCGAAGAAUUCCUAAGAACUCGUAAGUAAAAGGAAAAUACGCAAGGUGACAAAGUCGUCGAAAAAGUAGAUGCUGGAAUAGAUGUAAAGACUUGUAUUUGAUUGAUUGUAUAUUGUCUAUUACAUUGCUACGGGGUCUAUAUUUAUACCCUGUCAAAAAGAAUUACAACCAGACACGACUAGGAAUCUAAUUCCAAAUUGAACGAAAUACGUAUACAAAACGAACUCUAAUAGCUAUGGAAAACAUUAAUCUAUCUACCACAGGCGAUCGGCACACCGCCACUAUCCUAUCAGCAAUUCCUACGCCUCCUCCUGUCAUCAUCGGCAAUCGGCAAACCACCUUCCAUCGGCAUCGGCAACCACCAUGAUUAGUCAUCGGCAUAGAUCAAUCACCAUCCCUGGACUUAGCCACAUACUGCUCUUUAGCCAUCGACAUCAAUUCCCAUCGGUAACUCCCUUGAUAACCAGUCACCACUCUUUCACCUACCGAUCUUUAUUUCAUCAAUUCCUAGAUACGUAUCCGAAGAUACGUGUCCAAAAAUGGUGUCAACACAUUUGAGAUGCUUCCCAAAGAAAAUGCUAAUGAAAUGUAUUCUUGCUUGAAUGUUGUAAUACCCGAUUUUAAGGACAAAACCAGAUAUGCACCAUAUGUGAGUUUUAGAAGUCAAAUCUCACAUAUAGCUACAAAUAAGGGGUAAUAUCAAAAGACAAUGCAUAAAUAUAUAGCGUACAUAAUAUAAAAGAGAUAACCUUUAGCAUCAAACAGCGGAUAGAGAACUCUAAACUUCGGGUAUUAACUUCUCUCCACAGGAUCCAACUGACUAGUUGAUCACAAGCCCAAAACUUCUCCUGAGGUGUGGGGGAAUUGCAAGAGUGAGCACAUAUCAUACUCAACAAGUAUAACCAGGGGUUCAUGAGGCUCAAAUAGCUGACACUGGUUUGACUGCAUUUAGCUUUUAUAUGUAGAUAGCAUAUUUACAUUUAGAUAGCAAUUGUCAAGGUAGCAUAAUUAAAUCCCAUAACCACAUGAUCAAUGUAUACAAGAAUUAAGAAUAACACAUAUAAACAACAUAAUAAACCAUCAUUUAUCAUCAUUUAUCAUGUUCAACAGUGUCCAUCUAUUCCGUCAGUUUUCUAGGCCGCCCGUAUCAGUGGGCACGGCUAGUAUACCAGAUUUAACACUCUGCAGAGGUUGUACAUCUUUACCCAUGAGUCGUGAUUUACCCUUUCGCACGAGGUUGCAAGUCUCUUAACCCCCUUCCUAGGGAGGUCGGCAGGGAUCACUAUGAAGCCUUUCAAAGGUUUCGUCUAACAAGUUAGGGCCAUUAGAUUCACUCGGCAGGCAAAUAUAGAGCCCCCCUUCCAUGGCACAUAACCCGCAGCCUAUACACAUGGACAGAGGCCACACUAUACCCAACGUGUCUAGCCAUUCUUACGCCAUUUAAGGUAACCUAUAACAAGCUAGAAAAAGGUCCUCAUACUGAGCUAAAACCAGAGCCAUAUAGCCCUCAUGGUUGUACGAGUUGUCCCAGCUUUUGCCAAGGGAUAAGUCCUUAUGGAGGGUCAAGAUUGUUGACGGUCCUUAAUGCUCACAUUUAACCAUCAACUAAUCAUGGAAAAGUAUCUAAAUGGAACCAACACCUAGACUUAGGGUUUUAUCUGAUAGAAUUCCACAAUUUUUGGUGUUUGUCUAUUUCUGCAGGGGCUUAUCAGGAAAUACGAGGAAAGGCCCACACGUCGGGUUUACAUAGAGAUAUUAACGUGCCGCGCAAUUUUCUAUCAUCUAGAAGACUCCAGAAGCCACGGGACCGUAGCGGAGGCCGAGAGGACUCAAGGAUAGGGCGCCCGCCCUCCUCUCCUGGGCGCCCGCCCUCGGCCAGAGUCCAAUCAGGACUCUCUUUCGGGAUAUUGCUCCACCGACAUAAAGGAUCAAGGAUAACCAUUCAAUCAAUGUCGGUUUGAUCCAACGGCCCAGAUUCACUUGAAGGGACUAUAAAACUAGACCCGCUGGCCCCUGGAGAUCAUACCUCUUCUACAGAAUCAAAGUUAGGGUUUCAAUUCUUCAUCCAAGUAGAGAGGAUCCCUCUAGUUCUUCUAGUUCUACCACUAGUUCAUCUAGAUCUAGUUCUAGUUCAUCUAGUUCUAGUUCUAGUUCCUCUAGUUCUAGUUCUAGUUGUAAUCUAGAAAAUAGGGAGAGAGAAGAGGAGAGCGGAGGAGGAGCCGGGUCUGUUGGAUCUUCCUCAACAUUAUAGUUUUGUAGCAACUGGUUCGUUCUUCAUCGUUCUCCAAGUUCUUCAAUUCAUAAUUCCUGAGUUCUUUAAUUACUUUUUAUUUACAUUCAAGUUAUUUAUUGGAUUCCCCCUUGUAUCAAGUGCUCUAGUCUUUAUAACGCUAGAGUAGUGAUUAAUAGAUUAGACGUGGUGUUUAGUCUUGCAAUUACCUGGAAUUGCACCCAAUCCUGCGGAUUGUUGUGGUAGCCCUAGGGUAGUGACAGCCCUAAUGGUCGACGUAUUCCACCUCGUUCGGAUCGGUGUUUGUAGGACUGUAGUCAGACCUUCCUAGCCCCCUUCUCAUCUCUUUCUGUGGUUGGUGCUCUGAUGUCCCGAAAUAGAUAAUCUUGAAGUAAUUCUUGAUUCUUAGAUCAACUAGAGAACUCUCAGGAAACUUCCUCUCUUCCCACCAAAAAUAAUUAUAUAGUUAUCCUUGGGCGAUCUUGGAUCUUAAUUAGUACACUCACGUUCUCUGUGGAAAAUCGAUACUCUGGAAUACUCCCGGGUGAAGGCUACAUCGGUAUCCGUGCGCUUGCGGAUUUUUUCUGUUUGCGUUUAAAAUACCCAACAAGCUUUCUGGCGCCGUUGCCGGGGAACGGUAGCUGUGCUAGUUUCGAACCAAGUCGUUCAUGUAUCCUUUUUCUUUUCCUUUUUUUACCACACUCACCUUAUCAUUUUCACCAUACCACAUGGAUUUCACUCUAAGCAUUAAUGAGCAUGGAAUUUAUUUCAUAACCACUUCAUUUACUCCAUGCUCAUAUGCAUCAUCUUCACAAUCCAUUGGUCUCUCCAACAUCACCACAUUCGAGAUCUCCAACCCCCUCUUCCUUUCUAUUUAUAAAAACUUUAAAAGGGCGGUUGUCGAUGCAUAUGUCUAUAUUAAAUAUUGUAGAUCUCGUUGAGUUGAUCUUGAUAUAGGUCAGCGGUGGAGGGGAAACCACUUCGCCGACAUAAAUUGAUGGUUUCCCAAGGACAAGCUUAGUGUCCUAAAAUAAGCACUGAUCAGAUUGUAACAUGAGCUUUUAAUUAUUUGCAACAUUACCUUGUGUAUUGAGCAUAUAAGGAUAAUUGUAAAAAAUUCCUUCGAGUAUUCUUGUUACUAACCUUUCUAGGAUUGGAGCAAGAAGAUCUGAUGAAUGACAAGCACAAGGUAUGUCCAACCAAUCAUCAUACAACAUUGAAUUAAAUUCAUCCAAACUUGAAUUUUGCAUAAUUCAAGCUUGGGGGAGUACUUUACAUACAAACAUGCUUUGCCAUGUUGCUAUGUUAGUUGUCCCUACCUUUGAGACAUGCUCAAUUUGUUAAAUACUAAUCACACUACUUCAUCUCCACUUGAGUAUAUCUCUAUAAAUGCUCUCAUGCUACCUUUAUUUGCUUUAGUAUAUGUCUUGGUUUGGAGUAGUUUCAUUUAUCUCUUAAUUAAGCAUGGUGUUUAGUUUAGGGCUGAUGAUCUUACUUCCAACGGAGUUUAAAUUAAGCAUGAUGCUUAGGAUAAAAUGCCCUCCUAAAUCAAAUUAGACAUGGUGUCUAGGUUGAUCUUUGAGCCGAUAGUAUGCUAUAGUAGAUAUUGGAUAUUUUGUUGGACUAACCCCUACAGGAAAACUUUCAAUAUUGACCUGAGAUGUCCUGAGAUAAACUCACAUUGGAGACAAAGAGAGAGAUGCAUGAAGGUUAACAAUUUGCACAAGAAAGGCAUAGCUCACAAGAGAUGAUCCAUGGAGGGUGCCACAAACACGAUGCACAACCGCUAAGAAAGGAAAGCUUCCACAAGGUGAUACUGUAUCAUCACUCUUCAAGUAAGGUACACUUCAAGCAAACUAUGAAGGACUUUUUCAACUCCCAGACUCCACCAAGUGAAGAACCUAGAUCUACGAGCACAAACACACUGGAGAUACUGGACACUCAGGCAAUCACUGCCCUGAGAUGCUUGAGGACGUAAACUACAUCAAUAAUAGCAACAACAACUACUACAACCGUCCUCAACAAAAUCAAGGUUGGAAUCAUCAGAGGCCUAACUACUCAGAGAGGCGAUCCAGGAUGCCCCGUCAUCCCGAUCUCCAUCGGUAUGCUUGCAGAUCAGACACUAAGUCUCCCAAAGGGAAUAUUGAAGAACCUCUAUGUUCGAGUUGGUACCCUAUACGCUCCAGCAGACUUCGUAGUGAUAGAGGCUGGUACUGAUGAGAGGGAACCCAUCAUCUUAGGGAGGCCAUUCCUGAACACCUCGGGAGCUGUCAUCUACGCUAGUGCUGCCAAGAUCAGUUUCUACAUCAAGGGGAGUGUUGAUAUUUGGGAACGCAAUAAGGAAUUGAUCCAUAAGCGCACGGAUAUCGGUGAGCACUUCACCCGGGAGGUUAUCCAGAGUAUCGUAUUUAUUUUUUUACCACUAGGAGAAAGAGUGCAUCUGACUAACCGGUCUAUUACUACUAACACUUUAGGCAACAAAGAAUGUCUCUCGAUGUGAGUGAUAAAUAGAGAAGACUGCAACCGUAGUCUCCUUCUAACCUUGGUAAGGAUGAUCUAAUGUUCUAUUACGGAGGCUAACGGAAUCUAGACACCACAAAGGAUGUUCAACCCGCACCUAUAAACCCUAUCCUUCCUGCUAACGAGAUAUGGUCUGCAAAGGUAACUCGGAAUUGUCACGUUCCUCACUACUACCACGGUCCAGCUAGUCAGGGAAUAUCUAUGAGUAUCCCAGCCUAAACACCACGUUUAUGCCAGCAAUGAUUACUCUAAACUCUACGCGAAGAGAUUAAAGUAAACUCAUAAACCAGAAGAACAAUAAAACAAGAACUUACUAGAAUUUAGAAGUCGAAAUACUGAAGAAUCCUAGGAGCAAGCUUCGGGUUAGGAGAACUUGAUCCCACAGGUACAAGCUUGGAGUAGACACCGACAGGCCGGGCUUCCUCAAAUCUACACCUCCACUCUAUCUCUCUCAAUCUAGUAGAAACUAGAAGAUCUAUUUCUACCUUACAUUGGUUGCUAAGCCUAAAAAGAAAUAUUAUUUAGAGAAAAGGUUUUCCUUCGAGGGCACCCCUCAAUCUCUAUGAUAAUUUCUUGUCUUCUCCAGGGGCCAGGGGGGUCUCCUUAUAUAGUCCUCCUCCUCUAUGCGUUUUUGGGUCGGUAGGCGAGGUGGUACUACAUUAUCUUUGAUCCAUUAGGUCGGUGGAACAUCAUGUGCGAAUAGAGUCCCGAACGGGAUCCAGUAGGUGGCGGGUGCCCAGGUCACCAGGGCGGGCGCCCUGGGCCUGGCCCCUUUCGGCCUCUGCUUCAUUCUCGUGGCUUCUGGAGUCUUCUAGAUGAUAGAAAAUCACGCGGUGCGUUGAUAUCUCUAUGUAAUCCCGACAUGUGGGCCUUUCUUCCUUAUUUCCUGACAACCCCCUGCAGAAAUAGACAAACAACAAAACUCGUGGAAUUCUGUCAGAUCAAACCCUAAUUCUAGGUGUUGGUUGCAUAUUGGUCCUUUCUUUUGUUUAUUUGAUAAUUAAAAUUGAUACUUAAGAACCGUCAACAAAUACCCCCAUACUUAGGCUUUUACUCGUCCUCGAGAAAAGGAUGGUUAAGAACAAUACUUGGGGUAAGACAUUCUAAAACAUUCUUUAUAUUUGCAGGGUAUUAAAAUCCACUGUGUACUAUAGUCAGGAAAGUAUAUGAUUAGGAGUAAAGAUUCUUUCUUCUCAAUCCUAUUACUUGGAGUUUUUGUAUAAUUUUGAAAGAAAGCUAGCAUACCUUUUUAUCCUCAUAGGUUCUCUCAGAUCACUCAUUAUCUUUUAUAUAUCUCACUGAGGCUGUUUUAAUUUGCAAAAAUUCUUAAGCAUACUUACUUUGCAUUUAUUGCCUGAUCAAAACAGGAUCCAAGGUGGGGAAUGUCAUACUCUUAGAUCAAAGCCUUUGGAAAUUAAAAUCUUUAUCAACUCUUGCUGGCAUAUUGCUUAUUAGAGGGACCAUGGGCUAUCAUUUUUUUUCUCUUAUUUUUUAAGUGGAUACCGAGGUAUCCCUAAUUCUACUGUCGGACACUUGUCCAUUUUUCCUGCGAGGUUGUCGAGCACUUGCUCCUUUUUAUUUCCUCGAAAUAUCUUUAUUUUUGCAUAGCCCAUGCCUCUAAUGCAAUAAUACUUCGGAAGAGUGAAUCUUUCUGAAUAAAUGUCUUGAUCUUAAGAGCAUGUUAAAUCUCUCAACAAGGGUCUAACUCAUUUUGAUCAAACUCAAUACAGAGUAGAUAGCUUUUAUAAUCAUAAUUAAUAUUUUCAGUUUUAUCAGGCAUAUAAAACACUGAGGAUGGUAGCUAGAAUUUUAAAGAUUUUGAAAUAAAUUCUCCAAGCAACAAUGAUAUCAAGAAUAAGAAACUCUACCAUCUCACAUUUCACACUGUCUUAAGUAACAUAGGGUUUUAAAAUGAUUUUAUAAUAAUUGCAAGUUUUAGGAAAUAUAACAGAGUGAGAUUAAUCAUGAUUAGAAAUAUUUUAAUCUUUUUAAUUUGUCAUGUCGGAAACAGUAUUCUGCAUAAUCCAAGAUAUGUGUAUGUGUAAAGUAAAGUGUGCAGAGUGUGUACCUGAAUCGUGGAGUGGUGUAGUCGGAGUGUGUUUGGCAUGUCGAGGGAUCUCCCCCAUACUUGUUUUGUGCUUUCUUGCACAAAAAAUAAAGUAGAGACACACAAGACAUAAUAAUAAUAAUAAUAAUAAUAUUCUUUAUUAAUCUUGUGGCAUUUAUUACAAAUGACUAGUAGUAAACUGAUAGCAAUAGUAACAAACUGAUAAUAAUAGUAAACCUAAACUGAAUUUAAAGAUAGAUGACUAAGAUGCAUUGCCUCAAGAUCUAAUCUAGAUAACUUAGCGGCGCUCUAAUUCCUUGAUCUUCUUGCUGGCACUAGCAAGAUCCUGCCUAAGGCCUAGUAUGAUGGUGUUGUGGUUAGAGAGCUGCCUAGUGAGGGAAUUAAUCGAGGACUGGAGGUCUAUGAUAACUCUGUCUAGUCUACGAACGUCCUCAUCAAUAUCCAUUAUAGUCUUGCGACGCUUGGGAGGUGUCUCAAAAGCAUUGAGAGCGUGCUUCGGGGCUGCCUUUGGAGAGAUGAAACGGACUUUGGCUGCUCUAAUCCCUUCGAAGUAAGGUCUUUCCUCCUCCGUAGUGUAGCGUACGCUGCUGAUCUUGCCGCUCCGGUUGGUCUUGACUCCAAUGACCCUCUCAUUGGGUCUAGGUGGAAGGAUCCUUGUGCCGGUUGACACCUUGAUGGUGGUCUUCGUCUUGGAUGAUGAUCCCUUGAGGAGUAGGGGUUGUGGCGGUGCGGUGAGAACUGGUUGAGCAUGGUAGGAUUGGGCGGAGCUGCGUUGGCGUAAUGGCAUGGCUUCUAGCUGUCGCUCUGUGUUGGCCGGGACGAGAGCACGGGCAUCGGGGUCUUCCAUAAGCUAAAUGUUGAGGUUGAAGGGAACGACUUCCCAAUCAUCGUGGAACUUCUCGGCCAUUGGAGCAGCAAGGAACUAAUCAAGCUCUAAUUGAAGAAGAAGGGAAGGCAUGGUGGCUUGGUGUUUGAAAACUGAGGUCAGGGGUCUCUUUAUAUAGGGGUCAAAAAGUGCCUCUAGGGGUUGUUCGGGUUGCUCCCGUCGAUGUGCUUGCAAAGCUUUCCAUCUGAGGGAUUAUUCGGAUUACCAUAAGUGCAUUUUUCAUAACAGAGAAAAUCGGGACCGAGGGGGAAUAGGAGCUGGGCACCCGCCCACCUGAUCUGGGCGCCCGCCCUCUCUCUGGCCCCUCUGUGGGCCCACUUUCUCGAGCGCGUUUCUAGAUGCAAAACUAUUUAGAAAAAUAUAUAUAUGACCCAAAAACAUCAGACUAAAAAGGUCGGGCUCUAAUUCUCCAUGGGAUGGUAAAAAUGGACUACGUCUAUUUCUUCUAAUUCUUUAUUGGGCUCUAAAAAUAAUUUAAGACGUUGACGAUUUACCUUGAAUAACGUACCUUUGUCAUUUUGAAGUGUGAUAGCUCCGUGGGAUGAUGAAUUAAUUACCUUUAAUGGUCCUUCCCAUUUGCUCCGGAGUUUUCCAUGACCGAAAAGCUUCACCCUGGAAUUAAAAAGUAAUACCUUAUCUCCGGGUGUGAACUCCUUCGUCUUGAUUCUCUUGUCAUGCCACCUUUUGACUCUUUCUUUGUAGAUCUUUGAAUUGUGAUAUGCCUUCUCUCGCCAUUCUUCCAAUUCCGAUAUUUGCAUUCUUCUAUAAUCUCCAGCAACAUCUAGGUCCAUAUUCCAUCUCUUUAUGGCCUAGUGUGCUUUGAACUCUAGUUCAACAGGUAGAUGGCAAGUCUUCCCGUACACCAAUUGGUAUGGAGACAUUCCAAUUGGGGUCUUGUAUGCUGUUCGGUAUGCCCAGAGUGCAUCGGGUAACUUGUCUUUCCAUGCCGUUCCCAUUUCAUUUACUGUCUUCUGAAGAAUAUUCUUGAUUUGUUUGUUGGAAGUUUCUGCUUGGCCACUUGUCUGAGGAUGAUAGGGGGUAGCGACGUUGUGACGGAUUCCAUGUUUUGAUAGAUAUUGCUUGAAGCGUUUGUCGAUGAAGUGUGCUCCUCCAUCACUUAUCACUACUCUGGGGACUCCAAAUCUUGGAAAUAUAAUUUCUUCAAACAUCCUCUUUGAACUGAUGUUGUCGGCAUGCUUGUAAGGUAAUGCCUCUACCCACUUGGAGACAUAGGCAACUGCCACCAAGAUGUACUCGCACUUCUUUGAUGGAGGAAAUGGACCCAUGUAGUCUAUUCCCCAUACAUCAAAGAGCUCAAUCUGAAGGUUGUUGGUGAGUGGCAUUGCAUCCCUUGUAUUUAUGUUUCCGUGCCUUUGACAUGGCCCACAUCUUCUGAUAUAUUGCUUCAUGUCUUCAUAUAUUGUAGGUCAGUAGAAUCCACACUGCCAGAUCUUUGAAUGUGUACGGAAUGCUCCAUAGUGACCUCCAUAUGGUGAUGAAUGACAUCUGUCGAUGAUCUUCCAUCCUUCCUCAGUGGUCACACAUCUCCUAAGUAAGCCAUCAGAGCACACUCGGAAGAGGUAUGGCUCAUCCCAUAUAUGUGAACGACUUUCUUGAAUAAGCUUCUUCUUGUUUGCUCCUGGUGGUACAUACCCUGAAACCAUAAAAUUAACAAUAUCUGCAUACCAGGGGUCAGACCUGUUAAUCCCGUAGAGCAUGUCGUCCCGGAGUGAAUCAUUGAUGGGGGUUUUCUGUGGACUCUUAAAGUACAUUCUAGACAAGUGAUCAGCACCAGAAUUUUCUACUCCCUUUUUAUCUUUUAUUUCUAUGUCAAAUUCUUGGAGUAAUAAGAUCCAUCUGAUCAGGCGAGGUUUAGCAUCUUUUUAGUGAGCAAAUAUUUUAGUGCAGCAUGAUCAGUGUAAACAAUUAUUUUAGCUCCAACUAAAUAAGAUCUAAAUUUAUCAAUGGCAAAGACAACAGCCAGAAGCUCUUUUUCAGUGGUUGCAUAAUUAAGUUGAGCUCCUAUCAAAGUUUUACUGGCAUAAGCAAUUGCAUGAUGCUUCUUAUUUUUAGUUUGUCCCAAAACUGCCCCCACAGCAUAAUCACUAGCAUCACACAUAAUUUCAAAAGGCAACGACCAAUCAGGGGGUUGAAUGAUUGGUGCAGAGAUGAGUGCUUUCUUUAAUAAAUUGAAAGAUGUUAGACAUGCAUCAUCAAAUUUGAAAGGAGCAUCCUUGGCUAGCAAAAGAGUAACUGGUCUAGCAAUGAAUGAAAAAUCUUUUAUGAAUCUACGAUAAAAACCAACAUGGCCAAGAAAGCUUCGAAUUCCUUUUAUAUUCACAGGUGGAGGUAGUUGUUCAAUUACUUCAAUUUUACAUUUUUCUACCUCAAUACCUCUUUCAGCCACUAAGUGUCCCAGCACUAUUCCUUCUCUAACCAUAAAAUGACAUUUUUCCCAAUUAAGGACUAAGUGCUUUUCUUCACAUCUUUGCAAAACCUUGUCUAAGUUUUCAAGACAACUAUCAAUAGUUUUUCCAUAAACAGAGAAAUCAUCCAUGAAAACUUCCAUAAUCUGUUCAAUCAUAUCAGAAAAUAUAGAGAUCAUGCAUCUUUGAAAAGAAGCUGGUGCAUUACAUAACCCAAAAGACAUUCUACGGUAAGCAUAAGUUCCAUAUGGGCAUGUAAAAGUGGUUUUGCUUUGAUCAUCAUGAUGGAUCGGGAUUUGGUGAUACCCUGAAUAUCCAUCUAAGAAACAGAAGAACGAAUGGUUCGCUAACCGUUCUAGCAUCUCAUCUAUGAAAGGUAAAGGAAAGUGAUCCUUUCUCGUGGCUUUGUUUAGUUUUCUAUAGUCUAUGCACAUCCGCCAUCCUGUGACGGUGCGUUGCGGAAUUAGCUCAUUCUUUUCAUUCAUAAUAACAGUCAUGCCUCCCUUUUUAGGCACAACUUGAACUGGGCUUACCCACUCACUGUGCGGCAUAGGAUAUAUAAUCCCUGCAUGCAACAACUUUAUAACUUCCUUUUUAACUACCUCUCUCAUAGUGUUAUUAAGUCUACGUUGGGGUUCUCGAGAAGGUGAAACAGAAGGGUCUGUUGGAAUACGAUAGGUACAAAUCAUAGGACUGAUUCCUGUAAGAUCUUGGAGUGAGUAGCCAAAAACUGAGUGAUGUUUCUCAAGAAUAGUCAUUAAUCGCAGAGUUUGGUCCUGAGUGAGUUUAUCGCUAAUGAUCAUAGGAAACUCUGGAUUAUUGUUUAGGAAAGCAUAGGUAAGACCGGGUGGUAAAGUUUUAAGCUCUAUGGGGGGUCUAGGUGUUUCUGCAAACUCAUCUAAGGGUUCAAGUUCAGAAGGUUCGGCUUCUUCUUCUGUGAAGAAAGGAGUUUCGUCUUCUAAGUCUGGUUCAUCUAAAAGCUCUAGAGAUGCAGCCUUUACCUCCUCCAUAGGAUCAGGCAAAAGAUAUGAUUCGGCCUUAUUGUUUAAGGAGUGUGAAAUUGUUAUUGGGAAUUUAAAGGUUUUUCCAAAAGAAAUGUGUAGCUUUCCAGUAUGACCUUCGUAAAGGAGUCUUCUAAAAGGUUGUCCUAUCAACUGGUCAAAGUCCCAUGUAUCAAAGAUAUAAAAGUUCAAAUGAACCAUGGAGCCUUCUACCGUAACAGGUAGGACAUUAAUAAUUCCAAGACUGGGGACUUAUCGCCCCGAAGAUUCCUUUAUGACCUUUGUUGUGGGGGUUAAGACAAGAUUUUUAAAUAGUUUAAGUGCAAAAGAUUCAGACAUGGUGUUGAUCCCAACAACAGGGUUAUAGAGAGCAUUAAAUCGAUCAGAAUUAUAAGCACAGCGUAUAGGUGUGUCCAAACGGAUCACAUCAGAGGAAAGCUCUGAUUCCUCCAACCACUCGCUACUCAUGACUGAGAUAAGCUCUCUCAAUUGGUAUUCACUUGGCAAAUAAAUGCUAAACUGGCCGUUUUGGGGUUUGUCAAAAGAAUGGUAGUUUGAAAUGUUUCCAAAAUCGGCAAAAAGAUCGGAUUCUAUAUCCAGCAUGAAGUCCGGUGGUGGAAUUUCUUCCUCUUGUGGCUCAGAACAUGGGAUAGCUAAAGUAGAUGAAGAAUUUGGUAGAGUGUCUACUUCGUCUUCGUAGGUUUCAUCAUGAAGGGUAUUAUCCAUCUCAGCUUCUAGGAUUCUAUCUAGGAUCACUCUAGCUUCAUCAGUAGGGAUGCGAAAGAAAGAACCUCUAGACAUUGUGUGUAGCAUUUGUUUGUGAUUUUUCUGAAGACCUCGAAAAAAGUGAAAUAAAAGAACAGGGUCUUCACGAUUAAGGUUUGGACCAGAUUCUAAAAGAUCCGAAAAACGUUUCCAGGAUUUUCCCAAAGUUUCAUUAUCUUUUUGUUUAAAAGAUAGGACUUUGAGUCUAAGGUUGGCUAUACGGUCGAGGGAAUAGAAAUCUAGACAAAAGUUGGCUCGUAAAACUCCCCAUUCACCUUGUUGUUGACUUACCUUCUGACUGUACCAUUGUCUAGCUUCUCCCCUGAAAGAAAAAGGAAAAAGCUUCCAACGUAAAGUUUUAUCAGAAAUGCCUUCAAUGCGAAGACAAUCACAUGUUUGCUCAAAAUCUCUAAUAUGAAGAAGGGUUUUCGUCUUCCUUUCAGGAAAAAGAUAGGUUUUGAAUCAUGGCAAUCAACCUAGAACUGAACUUAUACUGAGAUGUUUGGAUAGGCUGUGAUGACUCCCAUGGUAAAAGGUCGGUUACUGAAAGGAUUGCAGAUUCAUGGAUCGAUUUAGAAUUUUGGUUUUCCAUAAGGUAAGAAGAAAAAAAAUAAAUACAGAAUAUAAAAGAUAAGAAAAGAUAAAAGUACAAAUACAAGCUAGUAGUAAGACUCAAGGUUAUCUCAGCAAACCGUCUUUCUCCCCGGCAACGGUGCCAAAAAUGCUUGUUGAUAUUUGGGAACGCAAUAAGGAAUUGAUCCGCAAGCGCACGGAUAUCGGUGAGCACUUCACCCAGGAGGUUAUGCAGAGUAUCGUAUUUAUUUUUUUACCACUAGGAGAAAGAGUGCAUCUGACUAACCGGUCUAUUACUACUAACCCUUUAGGCAACAAAGAAUGUCUCUCGAUGUGAGUGAUAAAUAGAGAAGACUGUGUUGACGGUCCUUAAGUACUAAAAUUAAUAAUCAAAUAAACAUGAAAAAGGAUCAAUAUGAAACAAACAUCUAGAAUUAGGGUUUUAUCUGACAGAAUUCCACGAGCUUUGGUGUUUAUCUAUUUCUGCAGGGGUUUAUCAGAAAAUAUGGAGAGAAGGCCCACAUGUCAUGUUUACAACGAGAUAAUUACGUGCCGCGCAAAUUUCCUCAAUCUAGAAGGAUCCAGAAGCCACGGGAACGAACGGGACGCGAAUCGGGCUCGGGAGCUGGCGGCCGCCCACCCCCAUUGGGCGCCCGCCCUGGCCAAGAGGCCAAUUAGGACUCUGCUUCAGGGCAAGACUCCACCGACCUAAAGGAUCAAUCUAAACCAUACAAUCUAUGUCGGUUUGAUCCAAUGGCUCACGUUCACUUGAGGGGACUAUAAAACCAGACCCCCUGGCCCCUAGAGGAGGAGAGGAGAAAUCAUUAUUCAGAGGUAGCCAUCAAAGUUAGGGUUUAGAUCUCUCUCCCACAGAGAAUUAGAAUUAGCUACUCCCUAAUCCUUCAAGUUUAGAGGUUGAUUAGAUAGCAAUUAGAGAAGUAGAGCACUACGCUCUGGAUUCGGAUCUUCGGUAAUAAAGAUUGGUAUUAUUCAUAUCUUUCUCUAAUUCUAUUGUUCUAAUUGCAUUAUGUUUCUAAUUAUUAUGUUCUUAGUUUGCUCUAGUUCUAUAUUUGAUAUAGUUCUAAUUGAUAAUGAGUUUAUGUAUAAGUUUGCAAAGCGCUUAGCUCUUGUCGCGAGGGAGUUAAGUGAUAGAUCACAUGUGAGCGUGGUGCUUAGAUGUUAUUUAUCUGCAAAUGUAUCCUAUUGGCCGGGUCGUGUGGUAGUUCGCGAUAGUGACAGCUUCGUUGAUUCUUAUAUAGUCCACCCUCCGUUGAUAGGACAGGCAGAACCGGUAUUGUGGAGUAAGUCAUGCGAUGCUCUGAUUUACUUUAUCAAUGUUCCUUAUACAUGAAUGAAGAGUCUUUUAUGCUAUAUAUGAUCUUGUAGAUAACUAGAGUAGAUUAUGACUUAGUAGUUAGUAGAUAACUUAGAAUUCAUUCUCUAGCUAAUCCGACAUCACCUACAUAUAUGAGGAGUAGUCUAUUUUCUAAUCGUUGUGCUAUCUACCCAUGAACUUAUACUUUAUUAUCAUUAUCUUUGUGGUUUACCCCCUGCUAAAGUAUGUGACUGUGUGACGAGUUUCUCAUUAGUAAUCAUGUUCUUGCAAGUUUAUCUCUAGUCUAUGCCUUGAUAGAUUUUGUCCCUUGAUUUAAUUCCAUCUUCUUUAGAUCCCUAGAGCAAAAUUAUAAAUAACGAUACCUGGAAUACUUAUCCUGGUGAAAUGCUACAAUGAGGUGUUUUAUCUGUGUGCUUGCGGAUAGAAUAGAUUAUUUUCUAGAGAGCCUUUACAUUUAUAAAUACCUUUGUACACUCUGGCGCCAUGCUAGGGAUGACAACCUAGUAUCUAAGUGGUGUUAGCUAGUGUCAACAAGCAUUUCUGGCGCCGUUGCCGGGGAUCAUUAUAGAAGUCAUACGAGUCUCAGGAAUAAGUCAUAAAAGGGAACAAAAGGGUAAUAUUAAGGAAGCCAGAAAAUCAAUCAAGGUUAUUCAUAUAAAAUAUUAGACUAGACUAUAGAGAAAUAAUUGCAUAAAACAGCUACUAAGUGAGAAAUCAUAACAAGGCACCGCUGCUUUGGCAGGUUCACCCUGUUGUUUUUCUAUGUUUAUAUUUUUAUACAGGGUAUAACAGGAUUGACUUUGGGUACAUUCAACUCUUCAUCAUCAGAACCAAAGCAAUCAAGAGAAGAAGAAGCUAGCUACCAAUUGCUGAAGCUAUGGCACAAAAGACCUUGCAAGAAUUCUCUGCUCCAAGUCUUGACAACAUUCCAACUGGUCCAAGAUUUGCAGUAGAAGAAGGAAUACCUGAGUUUGAGCUCAAGCCUCAUCAAUUUGGUACAAGCUACACAAUUCAGUGGAAAGGCACAUGAAGAUGCCAGUGCACACUUGCAGAAUUUCUUAGAGAUUGGAAGCACAAUCCACAUCAACGGAGUUGACAAAGACGUCAUACUGCUUCGCCUCUUUCCAUUCUCACUAGAAGGAAAAGUGAGGAAAUGGUUCUACACUCAUCAAGAUAACAUCAACAACUGGACGAACUUGUCAGAUGCCUUUCUAUCAAAAUUUUUCCCUAUAGGCAAGACAACUGCCUUAAGAGGAAAUAUUAUCAGUUUCCAACAACAGAAGACAGAAGCCAUUUCAGAAGCAUGGGAGCGUUUUCAAGGAUACAUAUCAGAUUGUCCUCACCAUGGAAUGGCCACAUGGUUACUUAUGCAGACCUUCUACCAUGGAUUAACCCAGAAGGCCCGUGAGUGCCUAGAUGCAUCUGCUAAAGGAUCAUUCUUGGAGCUUACAACUGGAAAAGCAGAGAUACUUUUGGAUAAGAUAGCAGAAAAUCAAAGCUGGUUCCAAGAUAAAGCUAAACAAUGUCAUCAAACUGAAGAAAUACUAGAGGAAGUAAAUGCAUUAUCAACUAAGAUGGAAAAUUUGCUCCAUUGGAUUGACCAGAGGGCCAAGUUCAAAGAAGAUCACAGGGCCAUUGAGACAGCAUACAAAUAUCAACCAACUUCGAGUCAACCCAAUAGCAAAGGUAUGAAUUCAGGUAAUACUUUCAAGCAACUUUCAUUAAAAGAGAUAAUUGCUCAACAAACCAAAAUUAAUGAUGAAGUUAAACAAAGGCUAGAUACAAAUGAAUCAUCUCUAAAAGAUAUAUAUAAUAAAAUGGAUUUUCUACUAACUGCCUUUGAUGAGCAAAACACUCUUAAUAAAAGGGUAGAGCUUAAAUUAAUAAAGUUAGCUGCUGCACUGCCUGUUGCUACUAACCUUGAGCAGGUAAAGAAUAUAACUACUAGAGGAGGUAGAGCUACCAGAGAUCCACCAUACCCAAAAGAGAAACAAAGAACAUCAGCACCAGUGCAACCAGCAGUGAUAGAAGAAGAAAGCCCAGUUGGAGCAGAAGAUUUGCUACAACCACCAAGAACUGGAGAAAUGAGGAAAGAUUUUUACGACACCAACUAUUUGCCAUUUCCCAGAAGAAACAGAGGACUGCAGUCGGAUGAGCAGUUUGGUAAGUUUGUAGAGGUCAUUCAGAAAUUAUAUGUCAACAUACCUCUACUUGAUGCCAUACAGGUACCUACAUAUGCAAAGUACAUCAGAGAUAUUCUUAACAAGAAGAGACCACUGCCCACCACUGAGGUUAUCAAGCUGACAGAAGAAUGUAGUGCGGCCAUCCUCAACAAACCACCAAAGAAGAAGGAAGAUCCAGGAUGCCCCACUAUUGACUGCUCGAUCGGAAACCAACACUUCAACAAUGCACUUUGUGAUCUCGGAGCAAGUGUCAGUGUGAUGCCAGCAUCAGUCUACAAAAAGCUUAAUCAUGCAAACUUAGAACCAACAUCAAUGUGCCUACAACUAGCGGAUCAAUCGGUUCGACACCCGUUGGGCAUCGCCGAGAACAUUCCAGUCAAGAUCAGAGAUUUCCUGGUGUCAGUAGACUUCGUAGUACUGGACAUGAGUCCUGACUCAAAAGUGUCCAUCAUCCUUGGAAGGCCAUUUCUGAGCACUGCCAAUGCCCACAUUGAUGUCGGAAAAGGAGAAAUCAAGUUCAACAUAAACGGUCAAGAAGAACACUUCACAUUCAAACCCAGAGAGAGACCCUACAGUAAAGGAAGUUCAUGAAGAACCACUGGAGACACCAUCUCCGGAGGAAGAAAACUCAGAAGAUUAAAAGAUUUGGAGGUCCAGCUUGGGGGACCUAAAAAUCCCAAACCCUCACCGGGAGGUAAAUCGGUAUUUAUCUGCAUUAUUAAUUUUCUCAUAUUUAACUUCUUGCAUAAUUAAUUCUUGCAUUAGUCAUAGCAUUAUUAUAAUAAUAAAAAAGGCCAGAUAUAAAUAAUAUUCGUGGUGUGUAACAACCCAUAUUUAUUAAUUAUUAUGGAGGCACAAAAAUAUUUUCCAAUAUCAUUUUCAUUAAGAUUCAAUUCUCAUAGAUUUUCCUGCAUUAUAUUUAUUUAUAUUGAUCUUCUAGAAGAAUGACCCACACUCUUUGGGUCCCACAUGUCAUACACCACACCUCACAUACAUCCCAUCACAUAAUUUCAUCCACCAAUAUGUUUCCACUCACCUGACAUCUUUCCACCGACCAACCACCACCACACAACAUUAUUCUGCGUGAGAUCAAAGCAAGGAAGCAAGUGGAGGAGGCACACCCAGGAUGGGCAUCACAAGUGGGCGCCCGCCCACCUACCAAGGGCGCCCGCCCUGUCCCCUCUUCCUCCUAUAAAUAGCCACCUUCUACCUCCAUCUUCUUCACACAAGCACUCCAGAAAACCACACAAGUAUCAGUUUCCAGAAAGAGCUCUUGUAGUGAAGAGAGAAGAGAGUAGAAAGAAAGAGAAGAGUGGGAAAGAAGUUGAUAGAGAGUGAGUAUCACUUAGCAAGCAGUGAUCCCGCUGUCUAAGCAGAAGUAAAAGUUGUUUAGGGGGAGGCUCUACCAAAAUAGAAACUUGUCUUGAACGAUUAACCCCUAGACUACUGACCCUCGGACAGCUGACCACUAACAUUUUAUCUCACAUUUUCCACCAGUUGUGUUUUUGCCAACUUUUGUUUGCAGGAUGUUUAAGAAGGUGAAGAAUGCAGGGAAGGCUCUCAAGAACAUUGGUACAAGGAGUUCAACCCGACACUCCUCACAGCCAUCAGAGAUGAGCGUCGACCCGACACCCACACAAGCUCCAUCAUCUUCAUCAGGCCAGCAAGUCAAGGUCCUUCUCAAGAUAGGAGACCUUGGACUGAAGACCCGAAGAGAGAAGGAAGUUUAUCAGCAAUUGAAGAACAAGGAUUUCAUUCACACCCCUACUAUCGAUCCAAUCCUACUACGAGAAACAGGUAUGGACACUGAAUUUGACUUAAUUUUUCAGAUGAUGGGUUGGACAAAUUUUUGGAAUAUAACUGAGCUAGGUUCUCGUCUUCUCACCCUCGAAUUUCUUAGCACUUUACAAUACUAUGAGGGGGGAAUUGUUUUUCGGAUGUUUAAACAGGAAAUUAUGUUAUCUUGGAGAGAGCUGAGCGACCAUCUUGGUUUCUCUUCAAGAUGCAUCCUAAACAUUGAUUCCGAUUUACCCAAUUUUGAGAGACACCAGUUUUGGAGAGAAAUAUCUAGAGAUAAUUUUUACAGUCAAGCCCGAAUCAGUGACAUGGAACACCCCACUCUUAGGAUGUUCCACAAAUGGCUUGGGUACAAUCUUUUCUAUCGCGAUGAUAUUAGGAAAGUAAGAGUAGGAGAUUUACAACUUUUAUAUGCUGCUAUUAGUAAAGUACCCACUUCACCUGUUACAUUAUUAGUUUCACAUUGGCUUAGUAUACCUAGUCUUUAGGGACCAGUAGGAUGUACUUCACUUAUCACUCGUCUAGCCUCUAAUCUUCACUUAUUAGAAAAUUCAUCGUUGGACUUCAUAGAAGAAUUAAGAAUUUAUCAUGGCUAUGACACAUUUAGACAAGCUCAGAUGUUAAAGAAAGAGGGGAAUAUAAUGUAUAUGCUAUAUGAUGAUAAAGGCAAGAUUCGGUUACCUAACCCGAACCUUGGCCUCUACGUUGUUCAAAACUUUUUGAUUGAGAUUGCAGCAACACCAGUGAACCAGAGAACUCCACAGCGAGUGGCAUCUGAAAGGAUAACCACUCACCGAGAACGCACUUGGUAUGGAGCUGACCCUGGACCAGAAGAAGCAGCACACCUGCAUUAUUGCGAUUACAACCCUCGAGUCCUUCGAGACCCAUGGGCUCGUCAUGCGCAACCACAAGAGCCAACAGAGGAGACAUGGCCGGAGAGCCAAGAGCACCAGUGGACAAACCCGCCUUUUCAUACGGGCAGGUACUCCACUGAUCCAUAUGGAGCUUCAGGAUCCAGACCUCCACCCCAAUUUGAUGCAGGACGAUACUCCGACGCCUCCUACGCCUUCACGAAUGACUACUAUCAAGAGGCCGGUGCUUUCUUCACUCGUACCGACAACACCCUCCUCGACAUCCAGAACACGCAAGCAGAACAUGGAAGACUCCUGGAAGAGCAACAAAAAUGGAACCAGGACCAUGCCGCUGCGGUACAAGAGCUGAGACAAGAUACAACAACAAUGAACGAUAACAUCACAACCAUGAUGCGGUUCUGGAACAUCGGGUAAGACCCACGUCAACAUCCAGCUUGGGGGAGUUCCUCCCUAAUUUAUCAAGUAAGUUUUUAUUUGCUCUUCUUAUUUAUUCUAUUCUAUCUUAGUAUUUUAUUUAUCUUAAAAGGAAAACUUAGAAAACCAAAUAAAUAUUUUCUUACUUUAAUUUACUGCACUUUAUAAACAUGAAAACAAAAUAAAAAGAGUGUGUAGAUAAGUGUGCUUUAUUUUCUUGCUAAGUUUAAUCUCUAGAAAAAAACAAAAAAAAACAAAAAGACCAAAAAGAUGCAUGAUGGAAAUGACGAACAGUUGCUCUGUUUGCUUACUUACAAGUACCUAGCUUUUACAUUAGAGUUCUUCCAGGAAUUACUAAAACUGAAUUUACUAUCUUUGGGAAGCAUAAAACUAAAGCCUAGGUAAGAGAAAGGCAUGAUAUAAAGUUGAGCUACUGUUUAUCUUGUUCCUACUACACCAAGUUCUAGAGAUUUAUUUUUGAAAACUUACAAAUCACAUGAUGAGUUCCUAGUAUACAAAACUACCUACCACAGCCAUACUUGCUAUAACAUAUUUUGCUAUAUUUACAUUGAGUUUGAUCGAGCUGUGUAGACCCUUAGGAGCUUUUCAUGUGGUUAAAUUAAGAUAUUCACUUGCACACAUCUACCACAGCAUUCAUCAUCAAUCAUUAAAAUUGCUAAAAAUAUUAUCACUCACUGUCCCGAAUAUUAUUAUUCUCUCUCUCUAAAAAGAUUCAAUGCAGAAGAGGCAUGGGUUAUGCAAAAAUAUAUACGAGGAAAUAAAAAGGGGCAAGUGCCCGGGAACUUCGAAAAAGAAAGAAAAAGAGUGAGACGAGAGGUAAAAAUGGACAAGUGUCCGAAGUAGAAUUAGGGGUACAAAGAUGCCCACUUGAGCGGAAAAAAUGGACAAGUGUCCGACAGUAGAAUUAGGGGUAUCUAUUACCCACCUGAAAAAAAAAGAAGAAGAAAGAAGAAAGAAAAAGAUAGCCCAUGUUCUCCCAAAGCAAAGAUCAAAAAUAAGAGGAGAGAUAGCAAUAUGAGGAGCAAUGAGAACUAAGAUUUAUUAACACUAUUGCAUUUUCACCAUCACUAUCAUUUACUCUACCACACAUGCACAUCUUGAUUUAAUUAUAUGCUGAGUUCCUUUGGAUCCAUGGCUCGAUUAGACAACAUAUGUAUGAGCUGUUUUCCACUCCUAUGAGCUCCAAUUAAAUAUUCUAUUAGCUAUAGGUAAGUGACAUUUUGGUAAGGAUCCACAAAUACCACAUAUAGAGAGACUUGAGAGAUCAUUGCUGGGAACUUUGAGUUUUAUUUUGAAAACUUAUGAAAAACUCUAGAACAAAGGUGAAGUAUAGACAAGAGGGAUAGUGCUUGACUUAACUAUUUUGUCUUUCGAUUACUUAAGACUUAAGUGCAGGUUCUAAACUCCAUAACACUUCACUCUAAUCUGGAAGAAUUUUAUGUAAAAGCAAGUGUGCCUGUCAGGAAAGAAACUCCUGAUCCGUCUGAGUUUAGCUAUUUGCUCAGGGACGAGUAAAGGGUAAGCUUGGGGGAGUUUGUUGAUGGUCCUUAAGUACUAAAAUUAAUAAUCAAAUAAACAUGAAAAAGGAUCAAUAUGAAACAAACAUCUAGAAUUAGGGUUUUAUCUGACAGAAUUCCACGAGCUUUGGUGUUUAUCUAUUUCUGUAGGGGUUUAUCAAAAAAUAUGGAGAGAAGGCCCACAUGUCAUGUUUACAACGAGAUAAUUACGUGCCGCGCAAUUUUCCUCAAUCUAGAAGGAUCCAGAAGACACGGGAACGAACGGGACGCGAAUCGGGCUCGGGAGCUGGGCGGCCGCCCACCCCCCUUGGGCGCCCGCCCUGGCCAAGAGGCCAAUCAGGACUCUGCUUUGGGGCAAGACUCCACCGACCUAAAGGAUCAAUCUAAACCAUACAAUCUAUGUCGGUUUGAUCCAAUGGCUCACGUUCACUUGAGGGGACUAUAAAACCAGACCCCCUGGCCCCUGGAGGAGGAGAGGAGAAAUCAUUAUUCAGAGGUAGCCAUCAAAGUUAGGGUUUAGAUCUCUCUCCCACAGAGAAUUAGAAUUAGCUACUCCCUAAUCCUUCAAGUUUAGAGGUUGAUUAGAUAGCAAUUAGAGAAGUAGAGCACUACGCUCUGGAUUCGGAUCUUCGGUAAUAAAUAUUGGUAUUAUUCAUAUCUUUCUCUAAUUCUAUUGUUCUAAUUGCAUUAUGUUUCUAAUUAUUAUGUUCUUAGUUUGCUCUAGUUCUAUAUUUGAUAUAGUUCUAAUUGAUAAUGAGUUUAUGUAUAAGUUUGCAAAGCGCUUAGCUCUUGUCGCGAGGGAGUUAAGUGAUAGAUCAGAUGUGAGCGUGGUGCUUAGAUGUUAUUUAUCUGCAAAUGUAUCCUAUUGGCCGGGUCGUGUGGUAGUUCGUGAUAGUGACAGCUUCGUUGAUUCUUAUAUAGUCCACCCUCCGUUGAUAGGACAGGCAGAACCGGUAUUGUGGAGUAAGUCAUGCGAUGCUCUGAUUUACUUUAUCAAUGUUCCUUAUACAUGAAUGAAGAGUCUUUUAUGCUAUAUAUGAUCUUGUAGAUAACUAGAGUAGAUUAUGACUUAGUAGUUAGUAGAUAACUUAGAAUCCAUUCUCUAGCUAAUCCGACAUCACCUACAUAUAUGAGGAGUAGUCUAUUUUCUAAUCGCUGUGCUAUCUACCCAUGAACUUAUACUUUAUUAUCAUUAUCUUUAUGGUUUACCCCCUGCUAAAGUAUGUGACUGUGUGACGAGUUUCUCAUUAGUAAUCAUGUUCUUGCAAGUUUAUCUCUAGUCUAUGCCUUGAUAGAUUUUGUCCCUUGAUUUAAUUCCAUCUUCUUUAGAUCCCUAGAGCAAAAUUAUAAAUAACGAUACCUGGAAUACUUAUCCUGGUGAAAUGCUUCAAUGAGGUGUUUUAUCUGUGCGCUUGCGAAUAGAAUAGAUUAUUUUCUAGAGAGCCUUUACAUUUAUAAAUACCUUUGUACACUCUGGCGCCAUGCUAGGGAUGACAACCUAGUAUCUAAGUGGUGUUAGCUAGUGUCAACAGACUGCAACCGUAGUCUCCUUCUAACCUUGGUAAGGAUGAUCUACUGUUCUAUUGGGGAGGCUAACGGAAUCUAGACACCACAAAGGAUGUUCAACCCGCACCUAUAAACCCUAUCCUUCCUGCUAAUGAGAUAUGGUCUGCAAAGGUAACUCGGAAUUGUCACGUUCCUCACUACUACCACGGUCCAGCUAGUCAGGGAAUAUCUAUGAGUACCCCAGCCUAAACACCACAUUUAUGCCAGCAAUGAUUACUCUAAACUCUACGCGAAGAGAUUAAAGUAAACUCAUAAACCAGAAGAACAAUAAAACAAGAACUUACUAGAAUUUAGAAGUUGAAAUACUAAAGAAUCCUAGGAGCAAGCUUCGGGUUAGGAGAACUUGAUCCCGCAGGUACAAGCUUGGAGUAGACACCGACAGGCCGGGCUUCCUCCAAUCUACACCUCCACUCUAUCUCUCUCAAUCUAGUAGAAACUAGAAGAUCUAUUUCUACCUUACAUUGGUUGCUAAGCCUAAAAAUAAAUAUUAUUUAGAGAAGAGGUUUUCCUUCGAGGGCACCCCUCAACCUCUGUGAUAAUUUCUUGUCUUCUCCAGGGGCCAGGGGGGUGUCCUUAUAUAGUCCUCCUCUAUGCGUUUUUGGGUCGGUAGGUGAGGUGGUACUACAUUAUUUUUGAUCCAUUAGUGAAAGCCCUAGUUUGGUUUUGGAUAAUUGAUGAAACCCUAGUACUAACCUCUAUACUAAGUGUGUGUAGACUUAAUGAGGUUGUACAUGCCAAGUGAUGGAGCAAGUGAUGAUCAUGGUGAUGAUGGUGAUGACCACAAGAUGAUCAAGUGCUCAACUUGGAAAAGAAUAAAGAGAAAAACAAAACCCUAUGGAGAUCAAGGCAAAGGUAUUGCUUAGGGUUUUGGUUUUGGUGAUCAAGACACCAUAGAGGGUGUGAUCACAUUUAGGAUAGAUAGCCAUACUAUAAAGAGGGGAAUUCUUUGGCUAAGCAGUUAUCAAGUGCCACUAGGUGUUAUUGUUCAUGUGCAUGCAUUUAGAACCUAGUGAGCUAACUUAACUCCCUCGAAGAAAAUGAUUGUGAAAAUGCUAACACACGUGCACAUGUUGGUUUACACAUUGUGGUGUUGGCACACUUUGAGAAGGAGGUGGAGUUUCAAAGGUAGAGAGAGGAUGGGUUUUCGAGAAAAUGAAGUGCAUAUUUUCUAUUGUGCCGGUGGGAAAUUUGGAGAAGUCACGGGAGUGUUUUCUCGCUGAGGAACACUCACCGGACGCUGACACAGAAGCACCGGACGCUGUUCCUGUGCGUCCGGUGAGCAGGCAGCCUGACUCGGUUAGGGUUAGGCACCGAACAAUAGGCACCGGACGCAGCUUGGAGCAUCCGGUGGUGUGCGUCCGGUGUGAGGAGGUUUCACAAACCUCUCUGCGCAUGAGUCCGAUGAGCACCGGACGCUCAGGGUGCGUCCGGUGGCUUGCGUCCGGUGACCCUGCAAGUUUGCGGAGCUCUCUGCGCAUGAGUCCGGUGUGCACCGGACGCGUCCGGUGCUAACUUGCUCAGCGUUCGGUGCUCUGCAGGUUACCGUUAGACUGUGACACGCGGCUGACGUUGGAGCACCGGACGCUGGUGUUGAGCGUCUGGUGCCCCUUUAAGAGCGUCCGGUGAUCCCGUAUUUCGCCCAGUGAAAGAGGCGACGGCUCUAUUUGUUUGAGGGGCUAUAAAUACGUGUUUGGCUGGCUUGGGGCUCACACUCUUGGUACUCUAACAUACUUAACAUCCUUGUGAGCCUAAGCAAACACCUCCCACUCAUCUCCUUCAUAGAUUAUACAUCUUUGUGAGAUUGGGAGUGAUUCCAAGUGCAUUUGCUUGAGUGAUUGCAUCUAGUGGCACUUGGGGAUCGUUCUAGCUGCGGUUUUCUUGUUACUCUUGGUGGUUGCCGCCACCUAGACAGCUUGGAGCAGCGGAGGAGGAUUGGCACGAGUUGGUGAUUGUUCGUGGCCAUCUCCCGGUGAUUGUGAGAGGUUUGUGCCUACCUCGGCGGAGAGCCAAAGGCAACAUUAGUGGAUUGCUCGUGUCAUUGAGCUACCUCACUUGUGGUUAGGUUCUUGUGGUGUCCUAGUGAGGACGAGGUUCGUGCUACACCUCUUAGCCACCGAACCACCAAGUGUUGGUCGACACAACGGGGACGUAGCGUGCCGGCAAGCACGUGAACCUCGGGAGAAAAAUUGUGUGUCUCCAUUGUGAUUGUUCAUUGGAUUUCUCCCGGUGAUUGGACUUCAUAUUAUUGAUUGGUUUAUCCCCUCAACGCGGCGGUAUAAAGUUCAAACCAUCUCUUUUACAUUCCCGCAAACUAGAGUAGCUUACUUACUUGUAUAGAAACUUUAGGUAGCUUUCUAGUGUAAGUAGUGACAUAGCUCUUGUGUGCCUAGUGAUUAUAUCAACUAGAAUUGUUGGAUAGGUGGCUUGCAAACACCCCUUAGAGCUAGAGCAAAAAGCUUUGCUUUGUUAUUUACUAACCUCUUGCUCUAGUGAAUUUGUAGAAUUUUUUAGUAGGCUAUUCACCCCCCUCUAGCCAUAUUAGGACCUUUCAAUUAGGUCGGUGGAACAUCGUGUGCGAAGAGAGUCCCGAACGGGAUCCAGCAGGGGGUGGGCGCCCAGGUCACCAGGGCGGGCACCCUGGGCCUGGCCCCUUUCGGCCUCUGCUUCGUUCUCGUGGCUUCUGGAGUCUUCUAGAUGAUAGAAAAUCAUGCGGUGCGUUGAUAUCUCUAUGUAAUCCCGACAUGUGGGCCUUUCUUCCUUAUUUCCUGAUAACCCCCUGCAGAAAUAGACAAACAACAAAACUCGUGGAAUUCUGUCAGAUCAAACCCUAAUUCUAGGUGUUGGUUGCAUAUUGGUCCUUUCUUUUGUUUAUUUGAUAAUUAAAAUUGAUACUUAAGAACCGUCAACAGGGAGGAAGGAGACGUUUUCCUUCAAGAACAAGACUACACAAAUCUCAGAGCAUUCCCUAUAUGAACCAAGGAAGGGGACCAACAGGAGGAACAAGAACAAACAAAUGUGUACCGAGUCAGCUAAGAUGGUCACUGCAGUUAAAGGAGGUCAAGAUCGUCAACUCAAGUCGCCUUUCUAACCAAAAAGGACGACCCAGUCACCUAUCAGCUCCUAUUCGGAACCAUGCCCCUAAAACAGACAUACAUUCAGCUCCAGACGGCAGAUCAGACAUUCUGAAAGGUUGAAGACAAGUACGAUCCACCCAUCAUCCUUGGGAGACUGUUCCUCAGCACCGUUAAAGAAAAUAUCUACAUUGGAACCAGAGAAGUCCACAUGCACUUCCCGUCUGAGAAGGUACGCCGCUAUUUUACUGACCUUAACUAUAUAGUUGAAGACUCUAAGCAGGUCAGGACAAGAAGAAGACGACGCAACCACAACCAGAGGAGGCAAAUCAUCAAGGACGAAUGGGCAGACUACGAAGGAGAAGUGGUAAUGUCUGAAGACAUACAGCUUGAACAGAACUGUCCUGAGGAGACCGUAGCACCGAGUUAGGUGUGAAGAGAGAAGAUAGCUAUACACGAAGAAGAGGCGCCGCCAGAACCACCGACUACGCCAUCCAGCGAAUCCCAGGACGAUUGAGAAAACGGAGAGUCCCGUUCGGAGGACUUAAAAACACCGAACGCCUUGCCAAGAGGUAAACUUGGUAGUUAUCUUUUUCCUUUCAAUUAUUUAAAAUAUUUUGCUUCGUUAAUCAGGUUCAUAUCAUUCUGAUAAGAAAAUAAAAAUGUCAAAAAAUAGUAAGCCCCAUGUGAGUAUGCUCAUGGCAUAAAACCCAUAAGUACAUUCACUGUGGUGGCAUAAAAAUAAAAUAAAUAUAUUCCUAUCCUAUAAAAAUAAAAUUAUAAAAAUAGAUUUAUGAUCCUACUAAAGAGUGUAACAUUUAUUGAAGAGGCUCAACAUGAUAAAGGCUAGAUAUUUAUGCUAACACUUAACUAGUUCCACAAAGCUUUGUUGUCUAUUUGAGCUCCACAGAAUUCAAGGAUCAAAGAAGACUAGCAGACGAAGGACAUCCUAAUCGCUGUCAGGGUGCUGCCAAUAUUCAAAUACACCUCCGCCACCUGCUAGCUACAUCAGAAGAAAUUACGUCAAAAUCUAGCCUGGGGGAGAGCACCCCCAUUUAUCCAGCUAAGUAUUCUAUUCAUGUUUAUAUUUUACUCAAAUAAUAAAAAGAUGCAUAAUCAUAAAAACCCAAAUAAAUAUUUUGUGCUUAUAUAUCUUUGCUUAGUUUGCUAAAUAAAUAAAUAAAUAAAUAAAUAAAGUUUGCUAUGAACCCUCAUGAUAAGCUCUCACAUGGAAAUGAUAAAUAGUUGCUCUGCCAUGACUAAUUCUCAAAAUUGAAAUCUCUCUCAAAUUUAUGCAUGACUGUUAUUAAUUAAGAUUUGCUCUAAACCUGAACUUGUGGGAAGAGUACUUGAUCUAAAGUCUAAGUCGUUAACGGAUACGAUAUGGGAAGGUUGAGUUGUUGUUUAUCUAUUCCUAGAGAUGCUAGAAUUCUGGAGAAUUUUAUCUUUAAAAAUCUUUAAAAUGUUACAUGAUGAGUUCCUGUAUGAGGAGAGUUUAAAUUCCUACCACAGCCAUAUAUACAUGCUUAUUAGACUAUGAACCAUUCAUUUACUUUUUACUGCUUAUGAGCAUUGAGUGUGGUCAAGCUGUGUAGACCCUUAGGAGCUUGUCAUGUGGUUAAAAUCAAGAUUCACUUGCACGUUCACUCACACAUGCUGCUUCUACUCCGGAAGUACGCAUCCACAUAUAUCCACCCAUUUCCAUCUCUAGAACCACCCAAAAAUAUUCUACUCCUAAUCUAGGAGAGAAUAGCCAAAAAUAUUUCUGUUUUUCCCUUGUGAAAUAAAUGCUCAAGUUAUCUUGUUACUACCACUUGCUAUAUUAUUUCAGGAGAUGAGUGCUCUAAAAAAAGAAAAAAAAGAAGAAAAGAAAAGAGAAAGAAUACGAGGAAAUAAAAAGGGGCAAGUGCCCGGAACCUCAAAAGAAAAGAAAAAGUGAGACAAGAGGUAAAAAUAGACAAGGGUCCGACAGUAGAAUUAGGGGUACGAGAUACCCACCUGAGAGAAAAAAAAGAAAAUAUAGAGCAUCUCAUUCUCCUCAAAAAGUUUCAAAAGAGCAAGAAAGGUAUGUAUCCCCUCAAAAGAGCAUAAGUAGAAUUAGACUUUCACCAUUGUUAUCACCAUCAUCACCAUACACCAUUCAUUCGCCACACAUGCACAUCUUGAUUUGACUUAUUGACUUGUUCUUCUGGAUCCAUGGUUUGGCUAUGCAAUAAAUGUCUUGUAAGUAUGUAUUAGCUGUGUCCCACCUAUGAGCCCCAGAUAUCGAAAGCCUUAUUAGAGUACGGUGAGAGAGAAGGCAUACACCAUUACUGCCUUCGUAAGGAUCCAGAAAUACCACAAA